rnacentral:lncRNA from 1 species
AGCUUGUAUUCUAUGGUUGAGAUCUCCAUCUAAUUCUCCGUUCUCUUGCAAGAUAGAUCCUAGGUAGCAAAAACGGUCACUUUUUGUGAUCUUCGCUAGAUUGCUCCUGUCAUUAGUGUGGAUAAGUAUAUAAAUGGAUAGAGAUAGGAAAGCAAUCACAAGAUGUACGUGGUUCACCCAGAUUGGCUACGUCCACGGAAUAGAGG